GGGAGGAGGGAAGUAACGAAUGGGGAGGUGUUAGUAAAGACAGCCGCUUUCCAAAUGUGAAUGAACUGAAGAUGUGAGGCUCCUUUCAGAAGGGAAAUAUCGCGAGAGUUGGCUUCGUACCAUGAUGCUUUGCGCUGCCUUAUAAGAAGCCGAGAGUGCCGUGCCACGUGCAAGUUUUGAGCAGCAGGGAUUGAUGUGGAGCCUGGUUUCAGGCACGUUACAGGAGGGAGAACUAUUGCAAGACAUUACCUCACAUUUGCGAUGACUUGAGGAAAAAAAACUGAACAAAGCAUAGGAUUUAUCUCUUACUAUUAUCUUAUUAUAAAGCUGCGGAAGGCGGAAUAUUGAGAGGUGCCUUCCUCCCAUGAUGUGUUGCAACAAAGGAAGUAGAGACUCUGGCACCCCUUUCAUGUUUAAAACAGCAGGAUUUAGUAUGAAUGGCAAAAUACCAUGAAGACCAAGGUUUUUCCAUGGGGCUUUGCGAGGCGACUUUCAGAAAGUCGGGUCUUUUGGGGCUCGUGCUCAUUUUAAAAGCUGCUGUAUUGGUUACAGCCAUGCAAAAAAAGAUAAAGGGUUCUCCGCCUGUGCCUCUUCCUGAUCUGCUCCUGACAGCUGCAGGAGGGAAAAUAUUGUGUGAAAUUUCCUCUUGUGAUACUUUGUGAUGAUUUAGAAAAAAGCUGAACAAAGCAUUGGAUGUAUCUGGUCCUAUUUGCUUAGUAUAAAGGAUUUUGUAUGCAGUGCAAAAUACCCUGAAGAUUGAGGGUUGUUUCAGUAAAAGAUGAGAUUGGAGUCUUGAAGAAUAAAAAUCUAUAUGGGGAAAACAAGCUACCUUUUUUUUUUUUUCAACCUUAAAUUUUUCAUUUAUACUAAUGGAUAGGCAUAUUUUACAGGAAAUAUUUAUAGCAAUUUGUAACUGCUUGUAAUAAACAUUGACGGUGUCAAAGUAAAUUCGAUGCUUGGAAUAAAUUCUUUACCUUUCA